AGUUGUCUUCAGGGCGGGGUGCAAUUCCCCACCGGUGGUAGGGCCGAGAUUCGGCCGAGCCCACGAGCGCUUCCGAUCCCCGUCGGAAGGUCAGCAGAUCUGGUCAGAGUCCAGAGCCGACGGUGAUAGUCCGGAUGAAAGAAGACGCGU
rnacentral:ncRNA from 2 species